UUCAAACAAGCUCUUUGACCUGUUUUCAAUUAAAGUGGGAGAGAAAGUGUGAGAGAAAACACACCCAGGCAGCUUUGUCGUCACUUCACAUCACAGUUUUGCUAAAAAAGAUGAAAUGCUGCAAACAUGACAUUGUUUUAUAAACCCACAUAGCUUCUGCUUCCAACAAUAUGAAAUAUCCUGGAGCACCUUAAAUGUUCAAAUGAACACCGGCCGUGUUUGAACAGCACCUGAUGGAAGAUUUCCUGUUAACUGAAGUGUGUGUGUGUGUGUGUGUGUGUGUGUGUGUGUGUGUGUGUGUGUGUGUGUGUGUGUGUGUGUGUAUACACACAACAAACUGUAACUAAGUUGUAAAUGUGAGAAGAAAAAAAAAGCCCAGAUAAUGACGUGAAUGCAGCACUCUUGAUGUCAGAAAAUCAAAACCAAAAAGACAAAUGAUAAACUAUCAUGAAGGCUGCAGCCUCGCAUGGCGGAUAAUUGCUCGUGGUUGGCAGCUUUGAACUGUGUUGCGUAAGUUCAGCGUGCUUCUGUGCAGCGUCAGCCGCAGUCGUUCUCUAGAGGGCAAUUUUCCUUGUUUUAUCCUUUUGUUACAAAUCACACCUUCACUUUAUAUUGCUGCCAACAAUUAGGCUUGCCAUAGAUUUGUAGAUCUCUUUGCAUCUUCCUCCCUUCCUGUCUACCAUUAAUCAAGAUUCAUUUUAGUAAAUUAUAAAUUAUGCCUGCAGAGACUUGAAUGUACUGUCUCCAUCACAGUAAACAUCCAGUUUCGGUUAUUGUUGCUAGGUAAUGUACUGUGAACGAAAAUCGACUAGAAAAGUCUUGACAGACGACGAUAGUUUAACUUUGAAGCUUCGUACUGAGGGUCUGCUGCCAACAAGGACGAGACACUCCCCGAGCCAGACACCAGGCAUUAAAUGAGCAGAGCAGGUGAAGGUUUAGCGAGGAGAAGACCGUCUGCGUCUUCUUCAGGGGAAUUAAAUCACCUUUACAGACAUGGAGACAGAGUGGGGAGAAGUGGAAGCGUGAGAGGUCCCUCGCCUCUCUUCUUUCUCCCGGGAGGGCUGCUCCUCUGAGGUCCUGGCCUCUUCCCUUCCCCUGGGCACUCGGCAUGCCCACGCUGAGGGAGGGCUACUUUGGUGUGACCAAAGGGAAGCAGAGCGAUCAAGAGUGAGACAGAGAGAUGGAAAAAAUCUGAGCAAAGAAAAGAAAAAAAAAAGAAAGAAAAAAGAUAAGAAGAGGGAGAAAAAAGGACUUAAAAUAGAAAGUGAGAGCGACAGGAAGAAAAAAGGGGGAGCGAGACGAGCGCAGCAGCCCAUGGUUUGUCUCAGGGCUGCAGGAGCUUCCAGAGCUGGUGUGCAGCAGACUGAAGAGAAGCACGUCUGCCCCAGAGGCAGAGACUGGAAAACAGGAUCAAAGAGUCGCCAGGGCAACCUGCAUGACACACAUUGUAUUAAAGCCACACGGUUAAUUUGAAAGAGAGGGAAGAAGGGCAAAAGGAGAAGAAAGGGGGAGGCAGAGGUAGCACAGAGAAGAGUAUAUUUAUCAGGCACUCCUGUCUCACUCUGUUAACUUUCCACUCAGAACUUUCUUCAGCUGCUCCACUUUGACUCUCUCUUACUCUCUCUCUCUCUUUUUUAAACCUCUGGCUCAAACUCCUCUGUGUCAUCUGCAUUUUCCUGAUUAUCUCAGCUCAGGUUUCCACGGGUCAUGCUAAAUCACAAACCAGAGGUACUGUGAAGAAAACAUGCAAACUUUCAAUUCUUUAAAUAUUUUGUGCUAAAACAUGAAAUGCAAAUAAUCCAUUAUUCAAAUAUUUUCCCAUUCAUACCCAUUUUGACCAAAUUUAUGCACAA
ensembl:lncRNA